rnacentral:rRNA from 1 species
UAACACGUAGGAGACAAGCGUUAUCCGGAUUUACUGGGUGUAAAGCGCGUGCAGGCGGUUUGGUAAGUUGGAUGUGAAAGCUCCUGGCUUAACUGGGAGAGGUCGUUCAAUACUACCAGACUAGAGUGUGGGAGAGGAAAGUGGAAUUCCGGGUGUAGUGGUGAAAUGCGUAGAUAUCCGGAGGAACACCAGUGGCGAAAGCGGCUUUCUGGCCCAUUUCUGACGCUCAGACGCGAAAGCUAGGGUAGCAAACGGGAUUAGAGACCCCGGUAGUCCUAGCAGUAAACUAUGUGGACUUGGCGUUGGCGGGUUUAAAUCCGUCAGUGCCGAAGCUAACGCGAUAAGUCCACCACCUGGGGACUACGGCCGCAAGGUUAAAACUCAAAGGAAUUGACGG